rnacentral:rRNA from 1 species
AACGAACGCUGGCGGCAUGCCUAACACAUGCAAGUCGAACGAGACCUUCGGGUCUAGUGGCGCACGGGUGCGUAACGCGUGGGAAUCUGCCCUUAGGUUCGGAAUAACUUCGGGAAACUGAAGCUAAUACCGGAUGAUGACGUAAGUCCAAAGAUUUAUCGCCUAAGGAUGAGCCCGCGUUGGAUUAGCUAGUUGGUGAGGUAAAGGCUCACCAAGGCGACGAUCCAUAGCUGGUCUGAGAGGAUGAUCAGCCACACUGGGACUGAGACACGGCCCCAGACUCCUACGGGAGGCAGCAGUGGGGAAUAUUGGACAAUGGGCGAAAGCCUGAUCCAGCAAUGCCGCGUGAGUGAUGAAGGCC